rnacentral:rRNA from 1 species
CCUUUGUACACACCGCCCGUCGCUACUACCGAUUGAAUGGCUUAGUGAGGUCUCCGGAUUGGCUCAGGGAGGUCGGCAACGACCACCCAGAGCCGGAAAGUUCGUCAAACUCGGUCAUUUAGAGG